AUAGGGUCAAUCCUAAACCCAGGAGUGCCACACAGCCUGUGUCUGGCGAGAAGGAAGAGCUCUGAGAGAUGCAGGAUGAAGGCCAUCCGACCCCGCUGUCGUGGAGGCAGUGCUGUGACUGGUGUGUGGGUGUGGACCAAAGCACCCCGUCUGAAGGUGCACUGAGGGUAACCAUGUGGUGAUGGACAGCAGAUUGCUGUGAACCGGAGCACACAGGCUGGAAGGAGCUGCUGAAGCAUCUGCACGGAUACAGGCAGUGAAGGGAUGGAGCUGUAGGGUUGAGAGCCUGUGAAUCGCAUGGAGAUGGGAGGGCAGGCUGUGGGAGAUGCUACCACAGCUCACCCCUUCCUGCCCACUGCUCGCAGAAAGUUUCCAAUGCGUGUCUGCUGCUCCUGCCUGAAGGAGCCCUCUGACCACUGACACAGGCUUGGCCUUCUAUACAGAAAGACCAUGGUGGCAGCAGUUGGCUGGGAAAAUCUGCUCUCAAAACAGCCCAAAGCAUCCCGGCCGAAAGAUGGAGCAGCCCGUUCCACUGCUCUGGAGAGUCUAGGCCAACAAGUGAGAUGACAACAGCAGGAAAGAGACCGUGGAGCAGAGAUGUCUCCUCCUGUGAGCUUUUGCAGGAACCACUUCCCCCACCACUGGCCUCAUGUGAUAGGAAAAGAAAUUGGUGUCCUUCCCAGGCCAGCUGGAUCAAACGCUUCCUCAAUUCAAAACUUCAGUUUUCCCUUCAACGUCUACCACCUCCCCACAAAACCCACUCUGGAGAAAGUACACACAAAGCAGAGUUCAACCCGUCCCUUCAUAUGUACGAACAGCCCUUGCAACCACCACACUGAGACCGGAAGCGCACGACGUGGAUACAUGCGCACACCCCACCAAGCCUGAACUUCUUGGAACACAACUGUGGCCAUUGGAAUAGUCUCAGUAUUCUCUCU